GAUGCAGAGUGGAAGAUGGAACUAGUAUGACAACACAGUUGAAGCUUGCCGCAUGGAAGCUGAGAGCGACGGGACGUACGUCAGAAAGCCAAAGUCUAAUGCUGCCAGCUCGUGCGUACUGCUGCACCUUCCCGGAACCCAGUGAUGUGGAAAACUACCAGUAGCAGCAAUACUGUGCAUCCAUCCAUUCAGCUUGUCUGCUAUGAAGAUGGACAGUCCGAUGUGACCAGAACAAGAGUGUCCUGAACCUUUUAAGUGAUGUGACACUUUUCAUCAACAGCAGCCUGUGUGAGAAGAGAAAGCCAUGGUCCUGUACAAAAUGCGUCACUGGGACCCAGUUGCUGUUUUUGGUCAAAUGGCAGACGAGUGUGGUGGUGUGAAGCAGAAUGAAGAAGCAGAGUGGGGUGAAAUGCAGGCCAUGAAAGACACCAUGGAACAUCUAACCCCCACUGCCAUUUUACUUUCAAGCAAAAUUUUCAAGAUACAUCUCUUCAGUACCAACGAUCUUUAUUUGUGUGACUUGGCACUGGAAGAAUUCACAGAUAGUUUGAUAAAUCGUGGAUCUCCUGGUGCCAAAGCAUACAUAUAAAAACUGCUACAAUGCGGAGUGGAAAUGCAUCGCAAAUCCUUCAGUAAUACAUUAGAACAUUGUAUUGUAGUGAAAUAUUUGAAGCAAUAAUAUUUGUAUGUAAAUAAAUUUGAAUAACAAUUUCAGAAGUGUAUUAACUCAUUUUUAUAGUAAGAUGACUAAGCGAGACUUAUACUAAUGCUGCUCACUGAACUAAUUAUGGAGUUCCCAUUUUACAUAACACAGGAGAAAGAUAAGCAUCCACUGUUGUCUGUAGCUAUUUAUCGUAAUUCAAAAUAAAACCUAAGUUAUUCUGUUAUGGAGAGCAUGUUCAGCAUACAUAUUUCAGUAUGUAGGAAGGAUUGAGAAGAAAAUCAUUGUGCUACA